rnacentral:rRNA from 1 species
UUGACCUCGGAUCAGGGGAUACCCGCUGAACUUAAUC